AGAGGGAGUGGGUCGAGAAACGGGGAGGAAAAACAGAGAGUUAGAGUGUGUGUGAAAUAGAGAGAGAAAGAGAAAGAGAAAGAGGGAGAGAGACAGACAGAUCGGGCAGGACAUCAGAAGAUCGGACAGCGUGUGUGAAUGUGUUUGAAUGUGUUUGAGUAUGUGUGUUUGUGUGUGUGGGACAGAGGCAGGGAGAGAGGGAGGGAGGGAGAGAGAAGAACCCAUUCCCCUCAGUUCCACACUAACUUUUCAACGUGUGCACUUGAGGGAAGUUAGCUGUUCGACCGGCUACGGAGGGGUUUUUUUCUUCCCUUUUCUCCCACCUAUACACUUUUCCACUUUCUGCAAUAACAUCGACGAACUUCAACUGAAUAACUGUCCGCUAUUAUUUCACACAGGUGACUGGGAUGUGUAGCGUGUGUGAGGAGGAGAUGGAAUAUGCUGGGGGAGAAAGAGGCGCUGCUUUGGGCUAGGUAAGGGGAGACCUGUGGUCAAGAAGAGAGCUCCAGUAUUGGAAGGCCAGCUGAGGAACUCACCAAACAGCUGGGAGUGUUCACGCUUUCAUUAUGCCAAAAGAAAAGAGCCUGAAAUAAAGUUUCAACUCAGCAGAUGUGGCAAGAACAAUCACAGGGGUGGAACAGAGCAACACGUUUUCACACAUUUUUCAGUUUCGGGUCAAGUUGACCUUAAAUAAAAAGUGAAACAAUCAGCGUG